CCCUCCAUUCAUUCUGGAAAUACUUUGGAUCGCUUGUGCGCCAGGCAGUAUUUUCUGCACUGGGCUGUACGGUAGAGGACGCGGCGGACGGGGAUGCUUGAAAGAUGAAUUGAAUCUUCUGGUUAUCAUAGUUGAUGCCAACCCAAUUUGGUGGGGAAAGCAAGCAUUGAAGGAAUCUCAGUUUACUUUAUCCAAGUGCAUGGAUGCUGUGAUGGUGCUGGGAAACUCCCAUUUAUUCAUGAACCGUUCCAACAAGCUUGCUGUGAUAGCAAGUCACAUUCAAGAAAGUCGGUUUUUGUAUCCUGGGAAGAAUGGCAGACUUGGAGACUUCUUCGGAGACUCUGGCAACCUUCCUUCUGAAUUGAAUCCCUCCGGCAGUAAAGAUGGAAAAUACGAACUGUUAACAGCAGCAAAUGAAGUUAUCGUUGAAGAAAUUAAAGAUCUGAUGACCAAAAGUGACAUAAAGGGCCAACAUACGGAAACUCUGCUGGCAGGAUCCCUGGCCAAAGCCCUGUGCUACAUUCACAGAAUGAACAAGGAAGUUAAAGAUAAUCAGGAGAUGAAAUCAAGAAUAUUGGUGAUUAAGGCUGCAGAAGACAGUGCACUGCAGUAUAUGAACUUCAUGAACGUCAUCUUUGCAGCACAGAAACAGAAUAUUUUGAUCGAUGCCUGUGUUUUGGACUCUGAUUCAGGACUCCUCCAACAGGCUUGUGACAUCACAGGAGGACUGUACUUGAAGGUGCCCCAGAUGCCCUCCCUUGUGCAGUAUCUACUGUGGGUUUUUCUUCCUGAUCAGGAUCAGCGAUCUCAGUUAAUCCUCCCACCCCCAAUUCACGUUGACUACAGGGCUGCCUGCUUCUGUCAUCGAAAUCUCAUUGAAAUUGGCUAUGUCUGCUCCGUGUGUUUGUCAAUAUUCUGCAAUUUCAGCCCCAUCUGUACCACUUGUGAGUAAGUAUCUUUGAGGUGGUGUGUGUGGCUCAAGUUCAGAGCUUUUCAUGCAUUGAAAGUGUUCUCUGUGUCAUUUCAGGACCGCCUUUAAGAUUUCUCUUCCUCCUGUACUGAAGGCCAAGAAAAAGAAACUGAAAGUGUCCGCAUGAUAAAAAAAACAUUUCCUACCAGGAUGUUCAUUUAUCAAGGUCAGGCUUUUCUAACCUGUAGGCCCUCACUUUGAAAUGCAUGGCAUUGACAUUUGAGCACAGCUUUGGGAAAAGUGACUUUUAUGGAGUCACAACAUCAGUCAGUCAAGACAGAGAGCGUCCUUCAUCGCUGCCUCCCACCAUGGUCAGAUGCGAACAAGGCCGUAUUGUCUAAAUGGAGAUUUGGCUUCAGAUGUUAUCACAUAUUUAUUCUUUUAUGUGUUAUCAGUACAUGUUUGGACAGAGUUAUCCAAAUAAUAAGUUUGUCCCUGAGUAACUACAGAAUCUGAUUUCAGGUUAAUGAGGAGAGCAAGUGUCCUGGGCUGUGGAAAAUUUUUCUCCAUAAAUCGACAUGUGAAAAACUUAUUGGGAAGCUAAUAUCUAGGAUUUGAGGGGGAUUUAUGGGGAAAAUGGACUCUGUUACUUGUCUACAGAUAGAAAUCUGUCACUUUUAAUGAGAAAAAGUUAAUAUUGUAGAAUUAUUCUAUAGAAGCUAUGAACUAAAUAAUGAAAACUUCCACAAGUUCAAAACAAACAUGAUUUGUAACUUUAGCAGUGAAUUUAUUUUUCUAUGUAAUAGUUUUCCUUGAACUAUUUCCUUAACUAUUUCUAUUCAGUAGUUUUCUUGAAAUUAUUCAAAGUUCUUUUGAAUUCCAGUAUAGUGUAGGAAAGAUUAAGGAAUGGUGACUGGUUUUUUUUUUCAUAGCAUAUCAACAAAAACCCAUUUGUGUUUGUUUGUAACUUUGUAUAUAAUAAGAUUUAAAUUUUUUCUUUAUCUUAGAAACUGAGUCUUAUUUAAAUAAUUUGCUUAGAUAAUUUCAGAUAGAUUUUGUAUUCUGGAUUUGUAUUUUCGUUAACAGAUACACAGAUUUCAGGGACUGCUUUGCAAGUAUUUAUUAAUCCUUGAGUUUGAGAAUUGGUUUUUCUUUUAAAAAUAUUACUAUUUCAGGGCUGGGUUGUGGCUCAGUGGCAGAGCACUCACCUAGUAUGGGUGAGGCACUGGGUUCGAUCCUUAGCACCCCAUAAAAAUAAACCAAAUAAAAACAUGCUAUCCAUCUGCAACUACGAAAAAAUUACGGUUUCAUAGACUAAGCAUAAUGGAAAUCACUGUUUUAAACAUAAGAGGUAAAGCAUUGUAGAUCUAAAAGAUGAAGAGUUUUAGCGGGGCACAGUGGUGCUGAGGCCAGAAGAUAUGGGGUUCAGAGUCAGCCUCAGCAACUUAGUGAGGUGCUAAUAAGCAACUCAGUGAGACCCUGUCUCUAAACAAAAUACAAAAAAGGCUGGUGAUGUGGCUUAGUGGGUGUCACUGAGUUCAAUCCCCAGUCCCUGCCCCCCACAAAAAAAUUAUAAAAGAUGAACAAUUUCAAAUAAGGUAGCAUGGUUUUGUUACUACUUUUUUAUUUUGUAAGUGUUUUAUAUACUUGCUUAGUUCUAUUUUUUAUUUUCAACUGUUAUAUUCAUUAUAUAUUUUGUAUAAAUGUGUACAACAAAAUAAUUUGUUUCCAUACUUGAAUUAUUUCCUCUCUUAAUCAUGUUUAUCUCAUGUUCAUUCAAUACUACUUCAAAUGUGUACUUUAUAAUUGGAUUUCAUUAAAUGACAGACAAGUGUUUAUUCAACUCUGAAGAAAUUUAAUUUCAAAUCUUGCCAAAAAUCAUACAUGGAAAAGUUGUUACAAGUACCAUAUAAUAAGAAGUUGGUAUGAAGGAUUUAAUACAUGACUCCUAAGAAAGUAUUAAAGGAGAGAUUUGAUGUUUGUAUUUUACCCUGGGAGCAAGGUCAGCAAAAUUUCAGUUGCUUGAUAUUUUCCUUGGCUCAAGAAGGCUGGUUGUAAGUGUCGUGCAUGGUUUGAUGCCAGGAGAGUGGGCUACUUUAUUAUACUGUAGUAUUUAACUUAAAUGCUGUGUAGUCAUCUUUGUGUGAACCGGUAGAUGGAUGUAGCCGUUCAGCCCACUGCUCUGAAGGCACCCUUUCGACUUCAUCUAUGGUCUGUUGCUUUAAAAAAUAAUUACAAUUUUUAUUAUGAUA